CACAAGCCGGAUCACUAGGGCUGCUCAGGGAAAGGGAAGCCAGAAGCCUGGCAUGCCAGCAAAAGGGCUAACCCUGCUUAUUCCUAUGAACCAACCAGUAAUCUCCGACUGUUGCUCAGAAAAAAACAAGAGGAUGGAUCCUCAGGUAAAACUGGUACUCUAGGAAGAUGCCUGUGAUCAGUCUGUGACUCCACAAACUGCAAGCAUACCAAUCUGUACAUCCAGGAAUCCACACUCCAAAGGCAGAAGCAUGGAUAUUUAGACUCUAGUGUCUACACAUGUGCAUGAUAGCAAGCUCUUCCUAUCAGGUCUUCUCUGUAUAAUGCUUAGCACCAUGAUGCAUGCAGUUGGAUGCUAAUAAACGUAACUAUAACUACUCAGUGACUAUCAAGGCAUACUCAAGGCAAGUCAUUUGACUUGUAGCUGUGACCAUGGUUUGGAAUACUCACUGAGCAUGGGUGAGUAAUUUAAGCCACGCCAAGUAUUGAUUUCCUUGUCUGAACAUUCUGAAAAAUCCUGCUUCCUCCCAGGAUUGCUGCAAGAAAUAGGGAGUGGAAAAAAAUGGAUAAUUAUCAUCAAACCUGAGCCAGAAUAGAAAACAGAAUCUUUACCUUGAAGAAGUCAAUGAGAACAUCUUUACCUUCCAGCCAAAUGAUGUUGUGAAGAUAUUGCAGUUCUUACAAAUUGAAGGUCUGCAGCAACCCUGCAUCUAGCAAGUCUAUCAGCACCAUUUUUCCAACAGUAUGUCCUCGCUUCAUAUCUCUGUGUCUACAUUUUGAAUCUCCAAGUUUUGGCUGAUCAUAUCGCCAGCCCAGAAAGAUGAUAUUUCCCAGCUUCCCUUGCCCAUGUGCGUCCAUGUGACUAAGUUCUGGCCAAUGGAAUUUGUGAUGGCUUUCUGCAUUGACAAAAGGUUCACAGAGCAGAGGAAAGAUGAGUUUCAAAAACCACCACCUACCUCCCAAAACAACAAUGAAGCAUACAAGCGUUGUGAAAUGUUUCUCUUCAACAAGGUCUACAGGUCACAAUGAUUCUGGUGUGAAGCAGAGGAUGGGCCAGAAAGAGAUUCAAAAUGCUACAUCUUCAAAUCACUUCACCUGUCCCUCCAGUAGCCCUUCAGGUCCUUGGCAUCUUCAACUCCUGCUAUCCUCACGUGUAAUGACCCUCAAAUUAAGUUCUACAAAUUACCCAGAUCAGAGAUAUGUUCCUUAAAGAUUAAGCUGCUUUAAAGUUGAAAUUGAGAUGAAGGCUCUCAAAAUCCCAAAGAACAAUGCACAGUUAUGCGGCUGUUUGCCAGGGACAGUACUACCAACUGAUAUCACACCAAAAUCUAUUUCCAUGCCUACUUCUCAUUGGUUUAUUGCCAGCCUGCUUGCGUUCUGAUUGGCUGCCUACAUUAUCCCCACCCCCAAUCCAGAAGAAGCCAAGUGAUCUAGUUCUGGGGAAGCUUUCAUUUUUUAACACUCAAGUUAUGUAGGUACCCACAACUGUUUUAACUGAUUUUUUUUUUUUUUGGCUGACAUUGUAGAAUGAAUUCAUGAAUUUUACAAGUAUAAUCAAAGACAACCAAAAAUUUUUAUUUUUCCCUUCAAAAGCUAAGUGUAGUGUAGCUCCCCCGUAGUCUAAGUUAGAGAAGAAUACUAACAGCGUGUUUUUCCUUCUGUGCUCAGCAAGCCUUAUCUGUACUUGCUAGUUUCACACUCCUUGAGGCUCAGGGACUUCUUGUUUCACCUCCCUAGCACAGCUGCAAAGUUACAAGGUUAAUACAGAAACAUAGUUUCCCAGGGAUGUGGAACAUGUAGUAUACAUAAAUGUAAAAGACUGAUCAACUGCCUUUGUUCCCGCUCCUGUAAGUAGGCUUCCUGCAUCAUGUAGCUCCUGGCCACUGACUGCUUAAAAGGUGACUGCUUUCUUUGUCCAGGGCUCAGACUUUCCUGGACGCUAGUACUACUGAGCCAGGUGAUCACCUUUUAAUAAAGACCUUUCCUGAACUUACUCUGUUCGGUCUCUCCCAUCUUUGACUGUCCUGCCACAUUUCUGGGGGCCUGUCCAGGAUUGAAGACAGUAGGUUUCUGUCUCCUUUGCCUGUGGGCAAGGGCCCCAGGACGCAGGAGAUGUGGGAACCUUGGCACCACUGGGUAAGACCUAGCCCAGAAGGACAACGGCUCUCCAGUGUCUUGGAGCCUUCCCCUGACAGUGCAAAUGGAACUGACUCAGGAGUUGCAGGACAGUCACAGGAGCAGCGUACAGGUAGACUACUGAACCAAGGUAAGGUUGGGCCCUAGGAAAGCCCAUCCUAUAAGGAUGGAAGGAGAGGUUGAUCACCUCCUGGGGAAUGACCGCUUAUCCAACCCAGAGCAGCUGGGGGGUGGCAGGAGUGGCUUGCCAAUUUGGAUGAACCUCAUGUCCCCACUAACACGAACCGGAAAAAGGGAGAAAAUGAGCCAAUAGAGCAGCAAGUGCAGCAAGGUAGGGCUUGCUGGCAGGGUGACAAGAGUGGCUUGCCACCCCAACUGGGAGUGUAUGGGUGUGUAUGCACCUACCUGGGACACAAAAGAGGCUCCUUUUGUCCAUUGAGGAGUCCUAGGUUAGGAGUGGUGUGUGUAUGUGUGUGAAUGUGGGAGCCUAAGUAGGCUCACCUGGGGCACAAGAGAGGCUCGUUUCAUCCGAUGAGGAGUCCUGGGGCAGGGGAGGUGUGUGAAAGUGUGUAAAGGUAUGGUCUCAGUGAGAGGUGAAGCCACCUGGACUUCCUGGUUCGAGUAGGGACUUGGAGAACUUUUCUGUCUAGCUAAAGGUUUGUAAACGCACCAGUCAGCACUCUGUAAAAACAGACCAAUCAGCACUCUGUAAAAUGGACCAAUCAGUGCUCUGUAAAAUGGACCAAUCAGCAGGAUGUGGGCAGGGCCAAAUAAGAGAAUCAAAGCUGGCCACCUGAGCCAGCAGCAGCAACCUGCUGGGGUCCCCCUUCCAUGCUGUGGAAGCUUUGUUCUUUCGCUGCUCUCUCUUUGGGUCUGCACUACCUUUAUGAGCUGUAACACUCACUGCGAAGGUCUGCGGUUUCACUCCUGAAGUCAGCGAGACCAUGAACCCACUGGGAGGAACAAACAACUCCGGACGUGCCACCUUUAAGAGCUGUAACACUGCGAAGGUCUGCGGCUUUACUCCUGAAGUCAAGUGAGACCACAAACCCACUGAAAGGAAGAAACUCUGGACACAUCUGAACAUCUGAAGGAACAAACUCUGGACACACUAUCUUUAAGAAUUUUAACACUCACUGUGAGGGUCCACAGCUUCAUUCUUGAAGUCAGCGAGACCAAGAACCCACCAGAAGGAACAAAUUCCAGAUACAUCGGGAGAGGUCAACGCAGGAAUGAAUGUGGGGAGGUGCAGAUCUCUUAGCACAGACUGUGUCCUCCGAGGUGAGUGUGGGACUAGCCAGACAUAGGUCACUGUGUAAGGCCAACAGGAUUAGCUUCAUAGCUUCACAGCAGUAGUUGGCUGUGACCUGGCUAAGCAGUGUCUGAACCUCCGGUAAUAGGACCCAGUCUGGUGAAUCUGAGAGUGAAAGUGAGAGUGAAAGUGUGCCAUGAGGGAGGAAAUGGGAGGAAAAGUGUUGAAACCAACUCCAUUAGAAUAUAUGUUGAAGAACUUUAUGAGAGGCUUUGAUGGUGAUUAUGGAAUGAAGUUAACACCACAGAGGCUAAGAACCCUUUGUGAAAUUUGCCCUCCUUUAAUGUAAGGUGGAUGGCCAAGGGAACCAUAGAUAGGGAAAUAAUUGGCCGAGUGUUUUGGGUGGUCACUGGUGUCGGACAACAGCCUGGGCACCCUGAUCAGUUCCCAUACUUAGACUCCUGGCUGAGUGUGAUUCAGACCUGUCCAAAAUGGCUACAGUCCUGCUUUGAAGAUUAUUGUAAGACUCUAGUGGCUUGUACAAAACAAGGAACCAUAGAAAAGACCCAAAUCAGGCCCAAGGGCCAUUGAACUUGCUGAGAUACCGAGAGGCUCUAAUACAAGGAAUAAAGGCUGGAUGGAAAAAAGCAACAAACACUGGAAAGGUUUCAGAGGUUCGUCAGAAACCAGAUGAAAGUCCCAGUGAGCUCUAUGAGAGGCUUUAUGAGACUUACCGGCUCUCCACACCUUUUGACCCAGAGGCAGCAGGGAAUCAGUACAUGGCUAAUGUGGCAUUCGUGAGUCAGGCACAAAAUGACAUUAAGCAAAAGUUGCAGAAGCUGGAGGGGUUUGAAGGUAUGAACAUUUCCCAGCUUAUCCAGGUAGCAACCAAAGUGUUUGUAAAUCGAGAUGAGGAAGCAAAGUGGGAGGCCAAGUGUAGAGCGAAGGAAAAGGCAGAGUUCUUGGCCACAGCCCUGGUUGAAAGAGAGACUGGAUUUGCAAGAAGACAUGGACGUGGGUCAUGGAUGCAGUCACAGUAGAGGACAAGCUAGGCCAGGUCAGGAGACCAGGACAGGUCAGGAAGAUUGGCCUAGACUAGAGAGAGAUCAAUGUGCGAGAUACAAGCAAAGAGAGCAUUGGAAAGAUGAAUGUCCAGAGAAAGAAAAGGACAAGGGUAACAACCAGGGACAGAAUGACUGGACAGGGCCUCCUUCCGCCGCUAGGCAAGGUGUAGUAGGAUCUGACAUGGAUCUAAUUGGGCUGGCAGGAGCCAAUGACUACCUUGAAGACUGAGACAGACCAGGCUCCAUCUCAUUAGGCCCUGAGGAGCCUAUGGUCUCAAUGGUAGUAGGGGGCCAAAAAAUAGACUUUAUGGUAGACACAGGUGCUGAAAAUGCAGUUGUGACUCAAACAAUUGGGCCAUUAUCAAAAGACUAUGCUAAUAUUAUUGGGGCCACAGGUAUCACAGAAAAUACACCUUUUUUCAAAUCAAAGAGAUGUAUGAUUGGAGACUGAGAGGUCCAACACAAGUUUUUAUACUUACCAAACUGUCCAGUGCCACUAUUGGGAAAAGACUUAUUAUAAAAACUGCAGGCUCAGAUCUCCUUUACACUGAGUGGAGAUAUGACUUUAAGCCUAAGGCAAAGAAAGACUAUGGUAUUAACACUCACAGUCCUGAAAACAGGAGGAAUGGAGACUUUAUGAAAGUAGUUGCCAGGAGUGUGGAAAAAGACAUAGUGUGGUUGAAGGAGAAAAACUAUUCACAGACUUGUUAAGUUACCAAGGAGUCUGGGCAGAAGACAAUCCCCCAGGGCUGGCAGUGAAUCAAGCACCUGUCAUAGUAAAGCUACUAUGAGGAACCUACCCAGUGUGGAUCUCCCAAUAUCCCAUUCCCAUGAAGGCCAAUCGAGGAAGUGAAAAACACUUAAAAAGGCUCCUUGAGUUUGGAAUAAUAAAAAGAUGUGUUUCCUCAUGGAAUACUCCCCUAUUGCCAGUGUUAAAACCUUCUGGUGACUACCGGCCUGUACAAGACUUAAGGGCAGUCAACAAGGUGGCAGCUACACUGCAUGCUAUUAUGCCUAACCUGUAUACUAUGCUUGGACAAAUACUUGCUAGUGCUGCUUGGUUCACAUGCUUAGACAUAAAAGAUGCAUCCUUCUGCAUUCGAUUGGCCCCUGUAAGCUGAGAUAUCUUUGCCUUUGAGUGGGGCCCAUCUCAGUAUGCCUGGACUAGACUUCCCCAAGGAUUUAAAAACUCCCCAACUAUCUUUGAAGAAGCACUAGCCUCAGACUUAAAGGCUUUCACGCCACCUAGGACCGAUGUGUCUUACUGCAAUACAUAGAUGAUUUGUUGCUAGCCACACCCACCAGAAAGGAAUGUAUCCAAGGAACAGAGAGUCUCCUUCAAGUGCUGUGGAAAGCUGGCUAUAAAGUAUCUAAGGAAAAGGCACAGACCUGUGGCCAAGGAGUCCAGUAUCUUGGCUUUUACAUCUCCCAAGGGUGGUGUGAGCUUGGGCAGGAGCGAAAAGAGACUGUCUGUAGCAUUCCUCAGCCAGACACAAGGCAGCCAGUGCAGGAAUUCCUAGGGGCAGCUGGUUUCUGCCACAUAUGGAUCCCCAACUACUCGCUCCUAGCAAAACCUUUAUAUGAGGUGAUGAAAGCGGGGGGAAAGAAGCCCCUCCUUUGAAAAAAGAAACAGGAUAUGGCUUUCAAGAAAAUCAAGAAAGCCUUAAUCCAGGCACCAGCACUAGGGCUUCCGGACAUGCAGAGCCCUUUUACCUGUAUGUUCACGAAAGAAAAGGAAUGGCUACAGGAGUCUUAGUGCAAAUGCUAGGGUCGUGGUAUCAGCCUGUAGCAUAUUUGUCCAAGCAACUAGACUUGGUGGCUAUAGGAUGGCCACCCUGUUUCAAGGUGCUGGCCGCCACUGCCUCGUUAGCCAAGGAUGCUAACAAGCUCACAUUUUGACAGAAGUUGAUAAUUCGGCUGCCCCACACAGUUGUCACCCUGAUGGAACAGAGAGAACAUUGUUGGCUCUCUAACCCUAGGAUGCUAAGAUACCAAGGGCUCCUAUGUGAGAAUCCAUACAUCACCUUAGAGACUGUGAAUACCCUAAAUCUGGCCACACCAUUACCAAUAGAAUAUGAGGAGCAUGGGAAGCCCCCGUUAUGUGCCCCAGGGUAUCACUGCUGUAUAGAAACAGUAGAUGAGGUCUUUUCAAGCCAAAAAGACUUGAAAGACCAGCCUCUAAAGGACCCUGACAUUGAAUAUUUUACUGAUGGAAGCAACUUCAUAUCCGAAGGUAUCAGAAAGGCUGGAUAUGCUGUAGUCACAUUAAGCUCGGUGGCCUAGGCCUGCCCUCUACCAGUCGGAACCUCAGUGCAGAAGGCAGAACUAAUAGCUCUCACAAGAGCACUAUUUCUAGCGAAGGGAAAGUUAGUGAAUAUCUAUACUGACUCAAGAUAUGCUUUUGCCACCUUGCAUGCUUAUGGACCCAUUUACAAUGAAAGAGGACUGUUAACUACUGAAG